GGCUUUAUAGUCAAUAUAUGAUAUCAGACUGCAAUUCUGAAGUAGUAUUAUCAUACUAAAGCUU
rnacentral:tRNA from 1 species